GAUGAACGCUGGCGGCGUGCUUAACACAUGCAAGUCGAACGGAAAGGCCCAAGCUUGCUUGGGUACUCGAGUGGCGAACGGGUGAGUAACACGUGGGUGAUCUGCCCUGCACUUCGGGAUAAGCCUGGGAAACUGGGUCUAAUACCGGAUAGGACCACAUUUUGGAUGGUGUGGUGGAAAGUUUUUCGGUGUGGGAUGAGCUCGCGGCCUAUCAGCUUGUUGGUGGGGUAAUGGCCUACCAAGGCGUCGACGGGUAGCCGGCCUGAGAGGGUGUACGGCCAAAUUGGGACUGAGAAACGGCCCAGACUCCUACGGGAGGCAGCAGUGGGGAAUAUUGCACAAUGGGCGCAAGCCUGAUGCAGCGACGCCGCGGGGGGGAUGACGGCCUUCGGGUUGUAAACUCCUUUCGCUAGGGACGAAGCGUUAUGUGACGGUACCUGGAGAAGAAGCACCGGCUAACUACGUG
rnacentral:rRNA from 1 species